rnacentral:rRNA from 1 species
CAGCACCUCAAGUGGUCAGGAUGAUUAUUGGGCCUAAAGCAUCCGUAGCCGGCGCUGUAAGUUUUCGGUUAAAUCUGUACGCUCAACGUACAGGCUGCCGGGAAUACUGCAGCGCUAGGGAGUGGGAGAGGUAGACGGUACUCGGUAGGAAGGGGUAAAAUCCUUUGAUCUAAUGAUGACCACCUGUGGCGAAGGCGGUCUACCAGAACACGUCCGACGGUGAGGGAUGAAAGCUGGGGGAGCAAACCGGAUUAGAUACCCGAGUAGUCC